rnacentral:sRNA from 1 species
AGUUCACAGUACAGAGCCAGUUGUCCAGGAGAAUGGGGACGAAGCUGGGGAGGGGAGAGAGGCUAAAGAUUCUGACCCCGGCUCUCCAAGGAGGUGUGACAUCAUCAUCAUCUCUGGCCGGAAAGAAAAGUGUGAGGCUGCCAAGGAAGCCCUGGAGGUAUGUGUCCGUGUGCCCCCCUCCACCCCCCACCAAGGCCCAGUCAGCAGGCACCUGGGGGAGACGCAUGGCCUGGAUGGGAUGGACGGUUGCCCAAGUGGCAGCGGCAGUGGAGCUAGCCCUCUUGCUCCUACCGUGUGCGCACGGGCUGUCUGGCUGUGCUCCUCGGCUGGACACAGAGUUUGGGGAGGCCACUUCCCUUCACCAAGGCUCUGGGUUCUAUAGCCCCUUUCUGGGACAGCUGCAUGGGAUCCGGCCUCUCAGGCCCACGGUGGGUGUAGGGGGCUGUGGAAGGGUCUCAGUUGCAGGGGGUUGAAUGUGACCUCCAGUUGCAGUGUCUCCCCCCGCGUGAGUGGGGUCAUCAGGCCUAGCUCACCUUGUGUGCAGUCAGUGUUGAGUGCCACGUGCAUGUUGGAUGCUGCUCUCAGUGCUGCAGUGCCACAGCACACAAAAAUAGUUCUCACGUUGCAGUGGAGAGACAAGCAAUCAACGUAGAUAUAUACUGUGGCAAGUGAUGGCGUUGGUUCCUGUCACCGUUGAAGUAGAGGUGCCCUUUGACCUUCACCGUUACGUCAUUGGGCAGAAAGGAAGUGGGAUCCGCAAGAUGAUGGAUGAGUUUGAGGUGAACAUACAUGUCCCGGCACCUGAGCUGCAGUCUGACGUCAUCGCCAUCACGGGCCUCGCUGCAAAUUU